AUGCAGCAAGACCUUUUUCACGACUGUGCUGCAAUAAGAGUUCACUUCUGAAAGAGUGUUUUAAAAGAUACCAGCUCAUGAACAUCCCAUGCAGGCAAGAGCUCUCUAAGUGGAUUUUAUGCUCAAAUGCUGGGCUGAAAACUAAAAAAAGUGGCUGCAGAAAUGUUCUUUGAUACAGAUAAUGGCAAUCAACUUUGCUGCAUUGAGUGUUGAAUACUUGAGGAACCUACAUUCACCUGAAACAGAGUUUCUCAGCCGGAAGGAGCCUGGUGAACUGAGCACUGUGUGACUAAUGAGCUGUCUGUGGAACAUCUGCAGUCUGAAUACCUGCAUCUCCACUGAAAACAGUCUGGGAACCUGUGCCUUAAUGAAACUUCAGACCACACUCCUAGAAAAGGCAGAGAAAAAUGGAGCAGCACCAGUGUAUGGGGAAGAUUGUGCUUACAGUGACAGAACCAGAGUUCCGUUUCCCAGCUUCCCACCAGCGCGUGGCACACAGACACUACUGCAAGCCUUGGGAGUAAUCAUGUGAAAGGAAAGUCUUCCUGAGCAAUUAUGGAUCCUGAGCAAUCUGCACAGCCAGCAGAA